GACGAACGCUGGCGGCGUGCUUAACACAUGCAAGUCGAACGGAAAGGCUCCAGCUUGCUGGAGUGCUCGAGUGGCGAACGGGUGAGUAACACGUGGGCAAUCUGCCCUGCACUCUGGGAUAAGCCUGGGAAACUGGGUCUAAUACCGGAUGGACCUUUCUCCUCAUGGGGUUUGGUGGAAAGUUUUUCGGUGCAGGAUGAGCCCGCGGCCUAUCAGCUUGUUGGUGGGGUAAUGGCCUACCAAGGCGACGACGGGUAGCCGGCCUGAGAGGGUGAUCGGCCACAUUGGGACUGAGAUACGGCCCAGACUCCUACGGGAGGCAGCAGUGGGGAAUAUUGCACAAUGGGCGAAAGCCUGAUGCAGCGACGCCGCGUGAGGGAUGACGGCCUUCGGGUUGUAAACCUCUUUCAGUAGGGACGAAGCGCAAGUGACGGUACCUGCAGAAGAAGCACCGGCUAACUACGUG
rnacentral:rRNA from 1 species